rnacentral:rRNA from 1 species
AUUGAACGCUGGCGGAAUGCUUUACACAUGCAAGUCGAACGGCAGCACGGGUGCUUGCACCUGGUGGCGAGUGGCGAACGGGUGAGUAACAUAUCGGAACGUAUCCAAUAAUGGGGGAUAACUAAUCGAAAGGUUGGCUAAUAACGCAUACGCCCUACGGGGGAAAGCUAGGGACCUUCGGGCCUGGCGUUAAUGGAGCGGCCGAUAUCUGAUUAGCUAGUUGGUGGGGUAAGAGCCAACCAAGGCGACGAUCAGUAGCUGGUCUGAGAGGACGACCAGCCACACUGGAACUGAGACACGGUCCAGACUCCUACGGGAGGCAGCAGUGGGGAAUUUUGGACAAUGGGCGCAAGCCUGAUCCAGCCAUUCCGCGUGAGUGAAGAAGGCCUUCGGGUUGUAAAGCUCUUUCGCAAGGGAAGAAAACUUAUCCUCUAACAUAGGGUGAGGUUGACGGUACCUUGAUAAGAAGCACCGGCUAACUACGUGCCAGCCGCCGCCGUAACAC